rnacentral:rRNA from 1 species
CAAAAGAGUGGGAAGAGCUUUGAGUAGAGGUGAUAUACCUAUCGAGCCUAGUAAUAGCUGGUUGUCUAAAAAAUGAAUAGGAGUUCAGCCCUAAUUAUUCUUCCCUUAAAACAAAUUGCCUCAACGCUCAAUAAACAAGACGAAGAAAGAUUAGGAGUUAGUUAACCAGGGUUCAGCCUGGUUAACACCGGAAACAGCCUCCUCAGGUGAUUUAAGACCACAGCCCUCAAGGUAAUUAUUUAGGUAGGCCUAAAAGCAGCCACCCUAGCAGAUAGCGUUAAAGCUCAAAUUAAAACCUCCCCCUUAUCCCGGCCUUACCUCUUCUUCCCUAAAUUUAUUAGACUUCUUUAUUUAAUAAAGGAAAUAAUGUUAAAAUGAGUAAUAAGAAUUUAUUCUCCUAGCACGUGUGUAUCUCGGAACGGAAUUACCGCCGAAUAUUAACCAGCUCUAACAGAGGUAAUUAAGGUCGCUUUCAAGAAAUCCCCUUAAAUUUAACUGUUAACCCAACACAGGAGUGCACUAAGGAAAGACUAAAAGGGAAAGAAGGAACUCGGCAAACCCAAGCCUCGCCUGUUUACCAAAAACAUCGCCUCUCGAAAAUACCAUAAGAGGUCCUGCCUGCCCAGUGACUAUAUGUUAAACGGCCAUGGAAUCCUAACCAUGCUAAGGUAGCGUAAUCACUUGUCUUUUAAAUGAAGACCUGUAUGAAUGGCUCCACGAGGGCUUAACUGUCUCCUUUUCCUAGUCAAUGAAAUUAAACUUCCCGUGCAGAUGCGGGAACAAACCCAUAAGACGAGAAGACCCUUUGGAGCUUCAGACCUAAAAUAAACUACGUAAAACAUUCUGAAAGCAAAGUAAAAACUUAGUAAAAUUAUCUUUAGGUCUUAGGUUGGGGCGACCACGGAGUAAAAUUAAACCUCCACGAAGAUUGAAGUCUCCUACAACUUUAACCUUUUGACAAACAACUAACAGAACCUCUGACUUUUUUAGAUCCGGCAUAAGCCGACUAACGGACUAAGUUACCCUAGGGAUAACAGCGCAAUCCUCUCCCAGAGCCCAUAUCGACGAGAGGGUUU